CUGAGCACCAUUCCCUAGAGCCAGCCCAGGGUGGAACAGUGACAGAGAGCUGGGGUCCAGCAGCCACCCAGCAGGCAGGGGAGCCUGGGACAGGGCCAGGCACGUGGUGCCUGCAUUGCUCAUGGACCAGAAGUACUGGGGACCCUUCAUGCACCCCAGAACCAGCUCUCAACCAGUGCCUGAUGCAACGGGAAGGAGUCUGGCUUCUGAUUACAGACUGCUGCUCCCUCUCUCAGCUGUUGCAGAGCUAAACAGACUUCCUUUGGCUUGUGCUGGGAAGAUUGGAGAUUUCCUGACAGCAGGAGCUGAGCUGGUCACCUCUGAGUCCCCCUGAACCUAGCAUGGACACUGGAUGGGUGCUCUGAGGAGAGGUGAGCUGGCAUCUGGCAACAUUGCAAAGCUGAUGAACCUUUUCUGCCAGACUCAUCUAUCAUCUAUCCCAUCAAGAUGAUUUGGGUAUCAAGAAACAAAUGAAAGCUAAUGUGGGCACAGCAUGGCAGCUGGUUUUCUUUGAGGACUGUCAGUCUGAAUUCCCCAUUUCCUCGCUGAUUGUCAGCCAGGGACCACUAUCUGCUUCUAGCAGUCACCACAUUCCUUUUCCUUCUCCUUUGUCCCCUCCACCUUCAAGCCAACAAAAGCAAGCUGGACCGUUUCCAUACCUGGAAUUUCUCUGACUCCCUCAUCUGGUACCAGCCUGCUGACACUUUCUGGUUUUAAAGGAUUCAUGUGAUUGGGUUAGGAUCACCUGGAUUCUCUCUCUUUUGAUUAACUUGACCUCUUUUCUUAGGUCAUUAGACACUUUACUCAAAGCAAUCCUCAUAAAACACCCUACCAGGUAGUUGCCGGUAUUACCACAGCCCUGGCUUUCAGAAGAGGAACCAGAGGGUGAGACAGUAAGUAACUUGUUCAAAGUCACACCAUUAACUGAUUGUGGAGCCCAGGUUCAGACCCAGAUAGCCUGGCUCAGUCUGUGUCCCUAACCACAACACUAUCCUGGCACUUAAGACAGGACGCUCAAUAUGAAUAUAUAUUCUCUGAGGGUAGAGAGAAGACAAGAUGGAAACAGCAAUUUACACAGAUGCUAACAACCUAGUGUUUGCAGUUCCCCAGAGAAACAGAACUGACAGAGUGUGCCUGCGCAUACAGAGAGAGGGCUGCAGUUCUAUUCCAAAGGCAGAAUCCUUUCAGUAUUACUGGGUCUCGGUCAACUGAUUAGAUGAGGCCCACCCACACUGUGGCCUAUAAUAUGUUUCACUCCGAAUCUAUUCAUUUAGAUGUAAUCUCAUCUAAAAAUGCCUUCACAGAGACAUUUUGAAUAAUGUUUGACCAAAUAUUUGGGUACCAUGACCCGGUCAAGUUGAGACAUGAAAUUAACUAUCACCUUGUGUGUGACUCAGAGAAAGUCCAUACCCUGUCUUUGAUCUUUACUUUCCUUGGAAAAUGAGGGGUGUCCUUGUUUAUACUGAUGUCCAGGAUUUAUUCUCUCUCCCC